rnacentral:rRNA from 1 species
AGCGAACGCUGGCGGCAGGCCUAACACAUGCAAGUCGAACGAACUCUUCGGAGUUAGUGGCGGACGGGUGAGUAACACGUGGGAACGUGCCUUUUGGUUCGGAAUAACUCAGGGAAACUUGUGCUAAUACCGAAUGUGCCCUUCGGGGGAAAGAUUUAUCGCCAUUUGAGCGGCCCGCGUCUGAUUAGCUAGUUGGUGAGGUAACGGCUCACCAAGGCGACGAUCAGUAGCUGGUCUGAGAGGAUGACCAGCCACACUGGGACUGAGACGCGGCCCAGACUCCUACGGGAGGCAGCAGUGGGGAAUCUUGCGCAAUGGGCGAAAGCCUGACGCAGCCAUGCCGCGUGAAUGAUGAAGGUCUUAGGAUUGUAAAAUUCUUUCACCGGGGACGAUAAUGACGGUACCCGGAGAAGAAGCCCCGGCUAACUUCGUG